AGGGCUAUAGCUCAGUUGGUAGAGCACCUCGUUUACACGAAAGUCUACGGUUCGAGUCCGUAUAGCCCUA
rnacentral:tRNA from 2 species